rnacentral:rRNA from 1 species
GUCUACGGACAUGCUACCCUGAACAAACCCAAUCCCGUCUGACCUCGGAAGAAGCAAGGUCGGGCCUGGUUAGUACUUGGAUGGGAGACCACCUAGGAAGACCGGGUAUUGUAGGCG